GUGCUGCAGUUGUUGUCGUAGUAGGAGCUACAGGUGGUCAUUUUGGUAGAAACUGCAGUUAUGGUCAUCAUAGUGGGAGCUGCAGUUGUCGUAGUUGUUGUCAUAAUAGGAGCUGCAGUACUUGUUGUAGCAGAAGCUGCCAUAACUGCACCUCCAGCAACGGCACCACCUACUACUGUGUUUAGGAGCUGCAGUUGUUGUCGUACUAGGAGCUGUGGUUGUGGUAGUAGAGGCUGCAGUUGUAGUUGUUGUAGUAGGCGCUGAAGUUGUGUUUGUCGUAAUAGGAGCUGCAGUAGUUUUUGUGGUAUUAGGAGCUGCAGUUGUCAUAAUAAGAGCUCCAGUUUUGUA
rnacentral:lncRNA from 13 species